AAACCCCGAAAGGGGUGAGUAGAGUGGCAAACGGGUGAGUAACGCGUGGGUGACCUGCCUUCGAGCGGGGGAUAACGUUCCGAAAGGGACGCUAAUACCGCAUAACAUCCUGCCUUUGAACAGGUGGAGAUCAAAGCUGGGGCUUCGCAAGAACCCGGCACUUGAAGAGGGGCUCGCGUCUGAUUAGCUAGUUGGUGAGGUAACGGCUCACCAAGGCAACGAUCAGUAUCCGGCCUGAGAGGGCGGACGGACACACUGGGACUGAGACACGGCCCAGACUCCUACGGGAGGCAGCAGUGGGGAAUUGUUCGCAAUGGGCGCAAGCCUGACGACGCAACGCCGCGUGGAGGAUGAAGAUUUUCGGA
rnacentral:rRNA from 1 species